AGGGCUGGAUGACCGCGGGUGGGGCAACCCGUCCGAGGAAAGUCCGGACUCCCUGAAGCAACGGUGCCGGGUAACGCCCGGGCGGAGAAGGGCGGGGAAACCCACCCGAAUCCGACGGAAAGCGCCACAGAAAUGAAACCGCCACCGGGCCGGUCGGGCAACCGAUACCGCCGGCGGUAAGGGUGAAACGGUGGAGUAAGAGACCACCGCGGGACUGGCAACAGGACCGGCACGGCAAGCCCCACCGGGAGCAACGCCAAAUAGGGACCUCGCGUGCCUGUCACAGGGUCGCUUCAGCCCGAGAGGUCCGGGUUGGCAGCUGGAGCCUGCGUGCAAACGCAGGCCUAGAGGAAU
rnacentral:RNase_P_RNA from 1 species